rnacentral:rRNA from 1 species
CAAUGGAGGAACUCUGAUGCAGCAACGCCGCGUGGAGGAUGACGCAUUUCGGUGUGUAAACUCCUUUUAAGAGGGAAGAUAAUGACGGUACCUCUUGAAUAAGCACCGGCUAACUCCGUGCCAGCAGCCGCGGUAAUAA